UACGUAGGGGGCAAGCGUUUGUCCGGAUUUAUUGGGCGUAAAGAGCGUGUAGGCGGCCAGACAGGUCCGUUGUGAAAACUCGAGGCUCAACCUCGAGACGCCGAUGGAAACCGUCUGGCUAGAGUCCGGAAGAGGAGAGUGGAAUUCCUGGUGUAGCGGUGAAAUGCGCAGAUAUCAGGAAGAACACCCGUGGCUAAGGCGGCUCUCUAGUACGGUACUGACGCUGAGACGCGAAAGCGUGGGGGAGCGAACAGG
rnacentral:rRNA from 1 species